rnacentral:tRNA from 1 species
GCGGCCAUAGUUCAAUGGAUAGAACGUCGGGUUGCGGACCCGAAAGUUGCCCGUUCAAGUCGGGCUGGCCGCA